rnacentral:rRNA from 1 species
UACGAAGGGGGCAAGCGUUGUUCGGAAUCACUGGGCGUAAAGCGUGCGCAGGCGGGACAUUAAGUCAGGGGUGAAAUCCCGGGGCUCAACCUCGGAAUUGCCUUUGAUACUGGUGUCCUAGAGUUCGUGAGAGGGGUAUGGAAUUCCUAGUGUAGCGGUGAAAUGCGUAGAUAUUAGGAGGAACACCAGUGGCGAAGGCGAUACCCUGGCGCGAUACUGAGGCUCAUGCACGAAAGCGUGGGGAGCAUACAGG